rnacentral:misc_RNA from 1 species
GAAAUGCGAUAAGUAAUGUGAAUUGCAGAAUUCAGUGAAUCAUCGAAUCUUUGAACGCACAUUGCGCCCGCCAGUAUUCUGGCGGGCAUGCCUGUUCGAGCGUCAUUACAACCCUCAGGCCCCCGGGCCUGGCGUUGGGGAUCGGCGGAAGCCCCCUGCGGGCACGACGCCGUCCCCCAAAUACAGUGGCGGUCCCGCCGCAGCUUCCAUUGCGUAGUAGCUAACACCUCGCAACUGGAGAGCGGCGCGGCCACGCCGUAAAACACCCAACUUCUGAAUGUUGACCUCGAAUCAGGUAGGAAUACCCGCUGAACUUAAGC